GCCUACGGGGGGCAGCAGUAGGGAAUAUUGGUCAAUGGAUGCAAGUCUGAACCAGCCAUGCCGCGUGCAGGAAGAAGGCCUUCUGGGUUGUAAACUGCUUUUGCCAGGGGAUAAAAUAUCCUUGCGAGGAUAAUUGAAGGUACCUGGUGAAUAAGCCACGGCUAACUACGUGCCAGCAGCCGCGGUAAUACGUAGGUGGCAAGCGUUGUCCGGAUUUAUUGGGUUUAAAGGGUGCGUAGGCGGUUUUGUAAGUCAGUGGUGAAAUAUAGCAGCUUAACUGUUAGGGUGCCAUUGAUACUGCAGAACUUGAGUACAGAUGAGGUAGGCGGAAUUGACGGUGUAGCGGUGAAAUGCUUAGAUAUCGUCAAGAACACCUAUAGCGAAGGCAGCUUACUAGGCUGUAACUGACGCUGAGGCACGAAAGUGUGGGGAUCAAACAGGAUUAGAUACCCCGGUAGG
rnacentral:rRNA from 1 species